rnacentral:rRNA from 1 species
AGUGAACGCUGGCGGUAGGCCUAACACAUGCAAGUCGAACGGCAGCACAGUAAGAGCUUGCUCUUACGGGUGGCGAGUGGCGGACGGGUGAGGAAUACAUCGGAAUCUACUUUUUCGUGGGGGAUAACGUAGGGAAACUUACGCUAAUACCGCAUACGACCUACGGGUGAAAGCAGGGGAUCUUUGGACCUUGCGCGAUUGAAUGAGCCGAUGUCGGAUUAGCUAGUUGGGGGGGUAAAGGCCCACCAAGGCGACGAUCCGUAGCUGGUCUGAGAGGAUGAUCAGCCACACUGGAACUGAGACACGGUCCAGACUCCUACGGGAGGCAGCAGUGGGGAAUAUUGGACAAUGGGCGCAAGCCUGAUCCAGCCAUACCGCGUGGGUGAAGAAGGCCUUCGGGUUGUAAAGCCCUUUUGUUGGGAAAGAAAAGCAGCAGGUUAAUACCCCGCUGUUCUGACGGUACCCAAAGAAUAAGCACCGGCUAACUUCGUG